rnacentral:rRNA from 1 species
UACGGGGGGGGCAAGCGUUGUUCGGAAUUACUGGGCGUAAAGGGCUCGUAGGCGGCCAACUAAGUCGGAUGUGAAAUCCCCAGGCUUAACCUGGGAACUGCAUCCGAUACUGGAUGGCUUGAAUCCGGGAGAGGGAUGCGGAAUUCCAGGUGUAGCGGUGAAAUGCGUAGAUAUCUGGAGGAACACCGGUGGCGAAGGCGGCCCACUGGAUCGGUACUGACGCUGAGGUGCGAAAGCGUGGGGAGCAAACAGG